AUUGAACGCUGGCGGCAGGCCUAACACAUGCAAGUCGAACGAGUGGCGGACGGGUGAGUAAUGUCUGGGAAACUGCCUGAUGGAGGGGGAUAACUACUGGAAACGGUAGCUAAUACCGCAUACCAUCGGAUGUGCCCAGAUGGGAUUAGCUAGUAGGUGGGGUAAAGGCUCACCUAGGCGACGAUCCCUAGCUGGUCUGAGAGGAUGACCAGCCCAGCGUGAACUGAGAAACGGUCCAGACUCCUACGUGAGGCGGCAGGGGGGAAUAUUGCAGUAUGGGCGCAAGCCUGCUGCAGCCAUGCCGCGUGUAUGAAGAAGGCCUUCGGGUUGUAAAGUACUUUCAGCGGGGAGGCGUUACCCGCAGAAGAAGCACCGGCUAACUCCGUGCCAGCAGCCGCGGUAAUUC
rnacentral:rRNA from 1 species